rnacentral:rRNA from 1 species
AUUGAACGCUGGCGGCAGGCCUAACACAUGCAAGUCGAACGAGUGGCGGACGGGUGAGUAAUGUCUGGGAAACUGCCCGAUGGAGGGGGAUAACUACUGGAAACGGUAGCUAAUCCCGCAUACCAUCGGAUGUGCCCAGAUGGGAUUAGCUAGUAGGUGGGGUACUGGCUCACCUAGGCGACGAUCCCUAGCUGGUUUGAGAGGAUGACCAGCCACACUGGAACUGAGACACGGUCCAGACUCCUACGGGAGGCAGCAGUGGGGAAUAUUGGACAAUGGGCGAAAGCCUGAUGCAGCCAUCCCGCGUGUAUGAAGAAGGCCUUCGGGUUGUAAAGUACUUUCAGCGAGGAGGCGUUACUCGCAGAAGAAGCACCGGCUAACUCCGUGCCAGCCGCCGCGGUAAUAC